rnacentral:rRNA from 1 species
ACUCCUACGGGAGGCAGCAGUGGGGAAUAUUGGACAAUGGGCGCAAGCCUGAUCCAGCCAUGCUGCGUGAGUGAUGAAGGCCCUAGGGUUGUAAAGCUCUUUCACCGGUGAAGAUAAUGACGGUAACCGGAGAAGAAGCCCCGGCUAACUUCGUGCCAGCAGCCGCGGUAAUACGAAGGGGGCUAGCGUUGUUCGGAUUUACUGGGCGUAAAGCGCACGUAGGCGGACUAUUAAGUCAGGGGUGAAAUCCCGGGGCUCAACCCCGGAACUGCCUUUGAUACUGGUAGUCUUGAGUUCGAGAGAGGUGAGUGGAAUUCCGAGUGUAGAGGUGAAAUUCGUAGAUAUUCGGAGGAACACCAGUGGCGAAGGCGGCUCACUGGCUCGAUACUGACGCUGAGGUGCGAAAGCGUGGGGAGCAAACAGGAUUAGAAACCCUGGUAGUCCCAUGA